UCCAUCCCACUUAAAACUCGAAUUCUUCACCCCAUCCCGUCGAUCCUUUUCGAUUUUAACCAGAUACGCGUCGAUAAAAUCGGCACCCUCAUCAUCAAUCACA
rnacentral:snoRNA from 1 species